CCUACGGGAGGCAGCAGUAAGGAAUAUUGGACAAUGGGCGAAAGCCUGAUCCAGCCAUGCCGCGUGAAGGAUUAAGGCCCUCUGGGUUGUAAACUUCUUUUAUAGGGGACGAAAAAAGGGAAUUCUUUCCCUCCUGACGGUACCCUAUGAAUAAGCACCGGCUAACUCCGUGCCAGCAGCCGCGGUAAUACGGAGGGUGCAAGCGUUAUCCGGAUUCACUGGGUUUAAAGGGUGCGUAGGCGGGUAGGUAAGUCAGUGGUGAAAUCUCGAAGCUUAACUUCGAAACUGCCAUUGAUACUAUUUAUCUUGAAUAUUGUGGAGGUUUGCGGAAUAUGUCAUGUAGCGGUGAAAUGCUUAGAUAUGACAUAGAACACCUAUUGCGAAGGCAGCAGGCUACGCAUAUAUUGACGCUGAGGCACGAAAGCGUGGGGAUCAAACAGGAUUAGAUACCCUGGUAGUCCACGCCCUAAACGAUGAUUACUCGACAUUUGUGAUACACUAUAAGUGUCUGAGCGAAGACGAUUAAGUUAAGUACCACCGUACGGGAAGGUAACGGACCGAACGUAGGUUAGUUAAACGUUACGUAAAGUUAAGUUAGUAGGCGNGNGAGAGCGACGACGACGACGACGGAGGAGG
rnacentral:rRNA from 1 species